GGAGCUUAGCUCAGCUGGGAGAGCAUCUGCCUUACAAGCAGAGGGUCGGGGGUUCGAUCCCCUCAGCCUCCA
rnacentral:tRNA from 1 species